GGGCUGGGGCUCAGCGGUAGAGCACUUGCCUCAUGUGUGCGAGGCCCUGGGUUCAAUUCUCAGCACCACG
rnacentral:tRNA from 1 species